rnacentral:rRNA from 1 species
UACGUAGGGUGCGAGCGUUAAUCGGAAUUACUGGGCGUAAAGCGUGCGCAGGCGGUUAUGUAAGACAGUUGUGAAAUCCCCGGGCUCAACCUGGGAAUUGCAUCUGUGACUGCAUAGCUAGAGUACGGUAGAGGGGGAUGGAAUUCCGCGUGUAGCAGUGAAAUGCGUAGAUAUGCGGAGGAACACCGAUGGCGAAGGCAAUCCCCUGGACCUGUACUGACGCUCAUGCACGAAAAGCGUGGGGGAGCAAACAGGGAUUACG